CCGACCACCCGCGAACGCGUGAGAACCACCGCGGGCGACAGGCCCCAGGCCGGUCGCCCGACBCCHKAUGGGGGGGGGAGCACCCCUCCCGCAGGCACCAAAACGAACCCCGGCGCAAGUCGYGUCAAGGAACCGAAAGUAGAUGCGCGGCCCUCCCCCCGCACCGGAAACGGUCGCACCGGGGGUGGGMGCACGUCGUUCGUAUCCCAUACGAAACGACUCUCGGCAACGGAUAUCUCGGCUCUCGCAUCGAUGAAGAACGUAGCGAAAUGCGAUACUUGGUGUGAAUUGCAGAAUCCCGUGAACCAUCGAGUUUUUGAACGCAAGUUGCGCCCGAAGCCGUCAGGCCUAGGGCACGCCUGCCUGGGUGUCACGCAACGUCGCCCACACCCGCUCGCGGGGUGGCGGAUGAUGGCCUCCCGUGMGCUCUCGCUCGCGGMUGGCCCAAAACACAAACCCCUGGCGAUGGCUGCCACGGCACGCGGUGGUCGGAAGCAAAUGAACYGCCGUGGGCAAGCCUCGUCGACGGGAUCGGCAGACCCCGACGCGAUCGCAAGCGUCGUCUACGCACAGCGA
rnacentral:rRNA from 1 species